rnacentral:rRNA from 1 species
UAAUACGAAGGGUGCAAGCGUUAAUCGGAAUUACUGGGCGUAAAGCGUGCGUAGGUGGUUUGUUAAGUCAGAUGUGAAAGCCCUGGGCUCAACCUGGGAACUGCAUUUGAUACUGGCAGGCUAGAGUGCGGUAGAGGGUGGUGGAAUUCCCGGUGUAGCGGUGAAAUGCGUAGAGAUCGGGAGGAACAUUCGUGGCGAAGGCGGCCACCUGGACCAGCACUGACACUGAGGCACGAAAGCGUGGGGAGCAAACAGGAUUAGAUACCCUGGUAGUCCACGCCCUAAACGAUGCGAACUGGACGUUGGUCUCAACUUGGAGAUCAGUGUCGAAGCUAACGCGUUAAGUUCGCCGCCUGGGGAGUACGGUCGCAAGACUGAAACUCAAAUGAAUUGACGG